rfam:Paenibacillus sabinae T27, complete genome.
UAAAUCCUGCGAUGUACGUUAUCGGCUGCUCGUUGUUUUGAACCAAUGACAUUGUCUCGGGAGAUCUAUAUUGGAGCGCAGCUGAAAGGCCCUGUCUAUAUGACAUGGGGACUUCAAAAACGCGACUGCGAUCACCCACCUGCUGUUGCAGGUUCAGAAGACACUGUGGCCGGACGGCAUAGGCGGGUUUUUC